UAACACGUAGGUGAUCUACCCCAGAGACGGGGAUAACGGGUGGAAACAUCCGCUAAUACCGGAUAGGCUUGUUCGGUCAAAGGGACAAGGAAAGGCUCCGGCGCUCUGGGAGGAGCCUGCGGCCCAUCAGCUAGUUGGCGGGGUAACGGCCCACCAAGGCAAAGACGGGUAGGGGGUGUGAGAGCAUGGCCCCCCACAAUGGGACUGGAACACGGCCCAUACUCCUACGGGAGGCAGCAGCAGGGAAUAUUGCACAAUGGACGGAAGUCUGAUGCAGCGACGCCGCGUGGAUGAAGAAGGCCCUCGGGUUGUAAAAUCCUUUACAGGGGGAAGAGGAAGGACGGUACCCCUGGAACAAGUGUCGGCUAACUACGUGCCAGCAGCCGCGGUAAGACGUAGGACACAAGCGUUAUCCGGAUUUACUGGGCGUAAAGCGUCUGCAGGCGGACAGGUAAGUUGGGCGUGAAAGCUCCGGGCCCAACCCGGAGAGGUCGUUCAAUACUGCGUGUCUAGAGGGUGUCAGAGGGGAGUGGAAUUUCCGGAGUAGCGGUAAAAUGCGCAGAGAUCGGAAAGAACACCAAUGGCGAAGGCAGCUCCCUGGGGCAACCCUGACGCUAAGAGACGAAAGCUAGGGGAGCGAACAGGAUUAGAGACCCUGGUAGUCCUAGCCCUAAACGAUGGAUGCUGGAUGUGGGGCCAUAGCGCUCCGUGUCGAAGCGAACGCGUUAAGCAUCCCGCCUGGGGACUACGGCCGCAAGGUUAAAACUCAAACGAAUUGACGGGACCCCGCACAAGCAGCGGAGCGUGUGGUUUAAUUCGAUGCUACACGAAGAACCUUACCUGGGUUUGACAUCUAGGUGGUAGUGAAGCGAAAGCGGAGCGACCCUUCGGGGAGCCUAGACAGGUGCUGCAUGGCUGUCGUCGGCUCGUGCCGUGAGGUGUCGGGUUAAGUCCCGUCACGAGCGCAACCCUUGCCCUCCGUUAUACGUGUCAGAGGGGACUGCCGGCGGUAAGCCGGAGGAAGGUGGGGAUGACGUCAAGUCAGCAUGGCUUUUAUAUCCAGGG
rnacentral:rRNA from 1 species